rnacentral:rRNA from 1 species
GCAUAACGCGAAGAACCUUACCUGGCCUUGACAUUGAUAGAAUCUGCUAGAGAUAGCGGAGUGCCCUUCGGGGAGGCUUGAAAACAAGGUGGCUGCACGGCGUGUCGUCAGCUCGUGUCGUGAGAUGUUGGGUUAAGUCCCGCAACGAGCGCAACCCUCGUCACUAGUUACUAACGGUUCGGCCGAGGACUCUAGUGAGACUGCCUUCGUAAGGAGGAGGAAGGUGAGGACGACGUCAAGUCAUCAUGGCCCUUACGGCCAGGGCGACACACGUGCUACAAUGGGAUGUACAAUGAGACGCAAUACCGCGAGGUGGAGCAAAUCUAUAAAACAUCUCUCAGUUCGGAUUGUAGUCUGCAACUCGACUACAUGAAGCUGGAAUCACUAGUAAUCGUAGAUCAGCCAUGCUACGGUGAAUACGUUCCCGGGUC